AUAAAUGCAAAAACCUUUCAGCUUUUUUUUUUAUACAUAUACAGGUAUAUUUUCUCUACGUUUAUUAAUUGACAUUUCACACUACUGCCUGCCAACGGUAAUUAUACACACACAUUUACAUACACAUGCACAUGAAAAUUGCCAAUUGCUCCAAUAGCAGUAGGUAAGGUACCGUUAUGGCAGAGGAAAUGGCUCUUGGCUUGGCGGAAAUAUUUUUUGUAAGUGCACACCCAGCGAAUAGGACGGGUUUCUAAUUAGAUUAGCAAACGAAUAGGUACAGAGGUGCUCAGCUUGCCAACAAAACUAUUUUUGACAAGUUGUUUCCCUCGAUCGAUUGAAUAAGCCAGAGAGAGAGAGAGAAAGGGAGAGAUGGAGAGAAGGGAGAGUAAAAGAGAGAGCGUGAGAGCGGGAGAACGGGACUAGGCAUACAUCUGUGUACUCUUCCUAUCUACCGAAAAAAGUACACGCUAAUAUAUGUAAACAAAAUAAGCGAGAGAUGCAAAUGGACAAGACGCAGCCCUGGUCAGCAGUAGGGGCCGAUAUGUUGAUAUGACUAGUCCCUGGCUUCUCUUUUCAAAUCGAUCAGAGCACGAUCACGUGAUCUCCGUUUAAUUAGUAUUUGUGCAGAUUUCGUUGAAAUGUUCGCACACAAACACACAGACACACACACACACACCUCUUUUGGAUUUAUAAAUAAAUGCCCAAGUCCACGGCACUGCGCUAUCGCUCGCUCAUGCGCUGCGCCUCUAUUCUGGCACAGCGCAAAGCCGAUAGCAUGACAAACCGUACCUGUAAGAACAAUAAACAAAAACAACAACAACAAAAAGAGCAAUGUGCACUUGACAAUGUUUGGGGACAGUCACUUCAAAAGCGUAUGUGUUAAAUUGAUACUGGGAAUUUAUGUUUAGAUUUAGAUCAGACAACUUCAUCACAAGUCUUUCUGAAGAUAAUUGAAAUAAUUGUUAUUAUUAUUGCGAUUGGAUUACUAUGUCAUGGAACUAUCAUGUGGACGAUCUAUUUGCCAGGAGCCGUACGAAAUUAGUUUCACAUAAAUGCAAAAAGCGCGCCAAAAAAAAAACCAUCCAAGCAACAGAUGUAAUCUACAUUUUUGUUGUGGUUCCAAAGCCGCAACACCACAAUUCCCGGUACUCAGUCAGUACACACAUACAUACGUAUGUACGUACAUAUGUACAUGCCAUUUUAUGAUUAAAAUUCAAGUGUAGUUUUGUAAAAGUAUAUUUCUCAACUCCGUCCAUGCUCUUUUCCUCUAAUGACAAAUAUUUAAGUGUUUCCACACCACACGUUCCGUUAUAUGUACAUAUCUCCCAAUCUCUCUUCCCACCCACCAUGUACCAUCAACGUUUAUAUCUCACUCUCCAUGCAAGGUGGAGCCACUGGACGAGAAAGAGAUGGAGAGCGAUCGCACGGCAGGGGAUCGCUACGCAAAAUUAUUCCCUUUAUUCCAGCUAUAAUACCGAUCCCAUCUGAUCAAUAUCUCGAUUUUUCGUAUCUACUAAAUUGUUGAUUGUUUGAUUGCUUAGUGUCUGAGAACUUUGCAACAAACGCUGCCUUCUGGCUGUUACAUACAUCAUAAUACAUCAAUAUAAUGUCGGCUUCGUAAAUACACACAAGUAAAGUACAUUUGUUAGCAACUACGGACAUCGCUACAUCGACUUCAUGCUAAUUAAGAAUAUACAUACAUACAUAUUUAUACUAUUCCUCUUGUACGCUUUAAGCAUGCAUUUUUUUUCUAAAUACACUACUGUCAGAAGAAAAGCUCCACUCCAGCAGCACACAACACUGUCAGCCAAAUGCAACACUGCUAUAACUUACUAAAGCAAUGGCCGAAUACUGUGAUGGCGGUGUUCAAGCAUAUAUGUGUAUGUGUGUACGUGUGGCAGCCUGUAGACUGUGUACGUGAGCUAACGAGAGCGAGCACGAACUAGGCAAAAUGUGAAAUGUCAAAACAUUGCGUAAAUUUUCGCCCCCUCAAUAGCACACCUUAUAUUAUAACUAGUUUUUGCAACUAAUAAAAUUUAAAAUAUUACAUACACAACCCGA